rnacentral:rRNA from 1 species
AUUGAACGCUGGCGGCAGGCCUAAUACAUGCAAGUCGAACGGUAACAUAAAAGAAGCUUGCUUCUUUUGAUGACGAGUGGCGGACGGGUGAGUAAUAUUUGGGAAACUACCUGAUAGAGGGGGACAACAGUUGGAAACGACUGCUAAUACCGCAUAAAGCCUGAGGGUGAAAGCAGCAAUGCGCUAUCAGAUGUGCCCAAACGGGAUUAGCUAGUAGGUGAGGUAAAGGCUCACCUAGGCGACGAUCUCUAGCUGGUCUGAGAGGAUGAUCAGCCACAUUGGGACUGAGACACGGCCCAGACUCCUACGGGAGGCAGCAGUAGGGAAUAUUGCACAAUGGAGGAAACUCUGAUGCAGCGACGCCGCGUGAGUGAAGAAGUAUCUCGGUAUGUAAAACUCUAUCAGCAGGGAAGAUAAUGACGGUACCUGACUAAGAAGCACCGGCUAAAUACGUG